CUCUGAGCGACCUCACGGCUGAUUGUGGUAGAGCAGUGUUAGGCUACAUUUACAAUGCUACCUUUUGCUUUAAAACAACUAACUUUUGCUAUAUUUACACCUCGUAUUCCUCCUGCUCUGGCGUUUCAGAGCCCCUAACCUCGAGACAUUUGGUUUGGAAUCUCCGGGGAUGUUUUGCAGUCUCAACGGCCGCAAAUGGAGACCUUUGGAAACACCGACAACGACGCCAACGUUUCGCCGCCUGAUUGGGUCAUGACUACUCGUUCUCUGAGACUAAGCCACUAAUAUCAACAUGGCAACU